UGUUGCUUGCAAGGGCGUAUGGUGGAUGCCUUGGCAGACAGGACCGAUGAAGGACGUUUGAGGCUGCGAUAUGCCUCGGGGAGCCGCCAACAGGGCUUUGAUCCGAGGAUUUCCGAAUGGGGGAACCCACCGACCGUCAUGGGUCGGUACCGGCUUCGGCCGGGGGGUACGCAGGGAAGUGAAACAUCUCAGUACCUGCAGGAAAGGAUAUUCCGUGAGUAGUGGCGAGCGAAAGCGGAUGAUGGCCAAACCUUGCGCGUGUGAUACCCGUCGGGGGUUGCGCGCGGGGUGUUGCGGGAUCGCGUGCGCCGGCUCCGACGGGCCGGCCGGCAGUUGCAGAAAACCAUGUGUCAGGGGAACCGGGUUGAAUACCGGGCCGCAGAGGGUGAGGGCCCCGUACCUGAACGCGCAUGGUCUGCCGAUCGCGUCUCCCAAGUAGCACGGGUCCCGUGGAACCCCGUGCGAAUCCGCCCAGACCGUUGGGUAAGCCUGAAUAUUCCUGUCUGACCGAUAGCGAACGAGUACCGUGAGGGAAAGGUGAAAAGUACCCCGGGAGGGGAGUGAAACAGUCUCUGAAACCGUGCGCCUACAAUCCGUCGGAGCCCUUUUGUGGGGUGACGGCGUGCCUAUCGAAAAAUGAGUCUGCGAGUCAGUGGCAUGUGGCGAGCAUAACCCGUGUGGGGUAUGCGUAGCGAAGGCGAGUCUUAAAAGGCGUUUGAGUCGCGUGUCCUGGACCCGAAGCGGGAUGAUCUAGCCCUGAGCAGGUUGAAGCGCGGGUAAGACCGCGUGGAGGACCGAACCCACCUGGGUUGAAAACCGGGGGGAUGACUUGGGGCUAGGGGUGAAAGGCCAAUCAAAUUCCGUGAUAGCUGGUUCUCUCCGAAAUGCAUUUGGGUGCAGCGUCGGGUCAUUACGUCCCGGGGGUAGAGCUACUGGAUGCUUGCGGGCCCGUAUCGGGUACCAACAGCAACCAAACUCCGAAUACCGGUGACGCGUAUCCCGGCAGUGAGUCGGCGGGGGAUAAGCUUCGUCGUCGAAAGGGAAACAGCCCAGACCGUCGUCUAAGGUCCCGAAGCGUGUGCUAAGUGGGAAAGGAUGUGGAGUCGCAUAGACAGCCAGGAGGUUGGCUCAGAAGCAGCCACCCUUGAAAGAGUGCGUAACAGCUCACUGGUCUAGUGGUUCCGCGCCGACAAUGUAGCGGGGCUCAAGCACACCACCGAAGACGCGGCAGUAUUUUGUACUGGGUAGGAGAGCGUCCCAUGAGGGGCGAAGCGGCCGUGUGAACGCGCCGUGGACUUCAUGGGAGUGAGAAUGCAGACAUGAGUAGCGAGAGACGGGUGAAGAUCCCGUCCGCUGGAUGACCAAGGGUUCCAGGGCCACGUUCAUCGUCCCUGGGUGAGUCGGGUCCUAAGGCGAGGCCGACAGGCGUAGUCGAAUGGAUGAACGGGUCGAUAUUCCCGUACCGGCUUUCAGCCGCCAAAACCGAGGCUUGGAGUACUAACCUCCGGGUCCGGGCUUACUGCUCCUUCGGGGGCGGGAUGCCCUGGCCUGUUGGGACCGAUCCUUGUAGUAGGUCAGCGCAGGAGUGACGCAGAAGGGUAGCCGGCCGCGGAGGUGGUCUUCCGUGGUCAAGCACGCAGGGCGUGGGACAGGCAAAUCCGUCCCGCAUGGGUCCGAGGUGCGAUGAUGGGGGCCUUAUGGCCCGAUAUCCGGUGAUCCCGGCUGCCGAGAAAAGCUUCGGCGUCAGGCUCAAAGCCGCCCGUACCCCAAACCGACACUGGUGGUCAGGUAGAGAAUACCAAAGCGAUCGAGCGAAUCCUGGUCAAGGAACUCGGCAAAUCACUCCCGUUCCUUCGGUUUAAGGGAGACCCCCGAUGGUGAACACACUUGCUGUGGGAGCUUUUGGGGGUGGCACAGACCAGGGGGUAGCGACUGUUUACCAAAAACACAGGUGCAUGCGAAGGCGCAAGCCGCUGUAUAUGCACUGACGCCUGCCCGGUGCCGGAAGGUUAAGAGGAUCCGUCAGCCUUCGGGUGAAGCGGUGAAUUCAAGCCCCGGUAAACGGCGGUGGUAACUAUAACCAUCCUAAGGUAGCGAAAUUCCUUGUCGGGUAAGUUCCGACCUGCACGAAUGGCGUAA
rnacentral:rRNA from 1 species